AUGAGCUUUAAAAGCAUCUUUUCAUUUAGUCUUCCACAGCAGAAAAUCGCCGAGCCAAGAAUCAUACCUCACUUUGUCAGUAGAAAAACAAGAUGUGGGCUUAGCGGAAUGGAGUUGCGUUGGAGCACGAGCCCCUCCUCGCUGCAAAGCCGAGGCAUGGAGAGGACGGGGAUCACAGCCGUUCUCUUAAGGAUUUCAAAACAGUCUGCCGACACCUCACUCCAUCUCUGUCAGCACUGGGGACGCGCAGAAAUUAAGUGGCCAGCCUGGUGCCACCAAGCAGGAUGCGGCUCCAAGAGUGUCUCCGCACCCCCCGGCACAGCAUCGUCCAUGCUGGACCCCCUUACGCACCCGGAGCACCAGGAUGGUGUUUCGCAGGGGAAGCUGAAGCCCCCUCCCGAUCCUACACCUCUAAGAGCUCAGGGUUUAGGGAAAUCUGGCAUUAGGAGGUUUCUGAUAAAAGAGCACUCUGGACCUCUUUUUAUCUUCCUCCAUGCUCCUCACGAGGUGAGGGCCAAUCCUGCACGUAGCCAGCCCUGCCACGCUGCAAAAGCCCCAAGCCAUUGCAUGUGUGAACCAUUUCAUUCCCUUACAACCACCUUCUCUUAUCAAGGAAUCAGGCACUUUGAUCCCAGCUGGAGCUGGAGAAACAGCAACGAGUUCAUGGUGCCACCCUCCUCCUCCUCCUGCUCCCUUUUCCCCCAGAGCAGGAGCUGGAGCCUGGGAAGGCGCCCAGCUUCCCGGGGGGGUGGCAGCAAACAUGGCAAGGAAAGAAAAAGAACGGUGGGCAGCUUGGCUUGGCCUUGCCUUUUGUUAUUAGCUGCUUUAAAUAUAGAAGUAAGCCCGAUGUUCAAAGCAAAGCCGUGGGUGUUGAGCCCACGGGUGGUGGGGACCCAGCCAACCCGUGGUGCGAGGGCGAGCGUUGGCCACGGAGCCCAGUUUGCUCCACCCUGGGAGAAGGGGAAAAGAAAAAAAAAAAAACUCAGGAAGGGAGGUAAAUAUUUGCUCUCCAAACACAAACUGCUGCCUGGAGGUUAA
rnacentral:lncRNA from 1 species